rnacentral:lncRNA from 1 species
AGAUGCCACUGAAGUGGAGGUGUCUGACUCAAAAGCUGCCUCAGAGCUGUACUUGCAGGCCACCGCAGGGCCUGCUGUCUGCUCACUCUCACCAUGUCCUGCCCAGGGCCUGACCCUCCUGAGGGGCCCGGGACCCAGCGUGUGUGGCAAGGGGCUCUACGGAUCCUACAGCUCCCAGGAGCCCCAGACUGCCCCCUGCUGCGGGUGUUGGCUGGUGAAGUUGUUGGUGAGGAGGCGGAGGGCUCUUUGCCCUGGAUUGUCUCAUGGCUCUUGGAAGGAAACAACUACAGUGGCCUACUUCUUCGCCUGGACCCCCAAGG